UAACCUAUUUUAAAAAAAAUUUCAUUUAAUUAUAACAGAUAACCGCUCACAAUCACCCUUUAUUAUAAACCCAACUAUAUUAUAGAGUCAAUAACGGAGAGCGAAGAAGAAGAAGCCUCAGAUAAGUGGCAG
rfam:Populus trichocarpa scaffold_1_contig_735, whole genome shotgun sequence.